rnacentral:rRNA from 1 species
AGAGUUUGAUCCUGGCUCAGAUUGAACGCUGGCGGCAGGCCUAACACAUGCAAGUCGAGCGGAUGAAGGGAGCUUGCUCCUGGAUUCAGCGGCGGACGGGUGAGUAAUGCCUAGGAAUCUGCCUGGUAGUGGGGGAUAACGUCCGGAAACGGGCGCUAAUACCGCAUACGUCCUGAGGGAGAAAGUGGGGGAUCUUCGGACCUCACGCUAUCAGAUGAGCCUAGGUCGGAUUAGCUAGUUGGUGGGGUAAAGGCCUACCAAGGCGACGAUCCGUAACUGGUCUGAGAGGAUGAUCAGUCACACUGGAACUGAGACACGGUCCAGACUCCUACGGGAGGCAGCAGUGGGGAAUAUUGGACAAUGGGCGAAAGCCUGAUCCAGCCAUGCCGCGUGUGUGAAGAAGGUCUUCGGAUUGUAAAGCACUUUAAGUUGGGAGGAAGGGCAGUAAGUUAAUACCUUGCUGUUUGACGUACCAACAG